AAAUGAGAAAUAGAAUCAAAUCUGAAAUAAAGCAUGAGAAACGAGAAAGGUGUGGUCACCUGUUCACUAUGACCUUGGGGAAAAUAUACAACACGGCUUCCAACAGGCGGCAGAGACACCAGAGGACCCGCACAUGCAUGCCACAGUUCAGAAUUC